UGUGAGGGAACUAAAAACAGCUGUUGGCAAAAGCAGACUUUACAUCGUGCCACGAGCCACUGUCUUGCAGGAAACCUCACCACCCUCAGCCAUGUCCCAGAAUUCAUUCCCACCACUCUCUGCAGCUCCAGCAGCAGAUGAGACCUCACAGGUGGCUAAGGAAAAUGUGGUUUCAGAUCAGGUGGCAUCCACAUCCUCUGCCAUAUCCAUGGUUUCAUUCCCACCACUCUCAAUUGCUCCAGU